UACGUAGGGGGCAAGCGUUGUCCGGAAUCAUUGGGCGUAAAGCGCGUGUAGGCGGCUAGAUAAGUCUGCUCUGAAAGCCCGGGGCUCAACCCCGGGAGGCGGGUGGAUACUGUCUAGCUCGAGUCCGGAAGAGGAGUGUGGAAUUCCUGGUGUAGCGGUGAAAUGCGCAGAUAUCAGGAGGAACGCCAAUGGCGAAGGCAAGUCUCUGGACAGUUCCUGACGCUCAUGCACGAAGGCCAGGGGAGCAAACGGG
rnacentral:rRNA from 1 species